rnacentral:rRNA from 1 species
GACGAACGCUGGCGGUGUGCUUCACACAUGCAAGUCGAACGAGGUAGCAAUACCUAGUGGCGGACGGGUGAGUAACGCGUGGGAAUCUGCCCUGGGGUGGGGGAUAACUAGCCGAAAGGUUAGCUAAUACCGCAUAUGCCGUGAGGUAAAAGGAGUAAUCCGCCCGAGGAUGAGCCUGCGUCCGAUUAGCUAGUUGGUAGGGUAAAAGCCUACCAAGGCUACGAUCGGUAGCUGGUCUGAGAGGAUGAUCAGCCACAAUGGGACUGAGACACGGCCCAUACUCCUACGGGAGGCAGCAGUGGGGAAUUUUACGCAAUGGGGGGAAACCCUGACGUAGCGACACCGCGUGAGCGAAGAAGCCCUUUGGGGUGUAAAGCUCUGUCAGCAGGAACGAAAAUAAGUAUGACGGUACCUGCAGAGGAAGCAUCGGCUAACUACGUGCCAGCAGCCGCGGUAAU